rnacentral:rRNA from 1 species
AUUGAACGCUGGCGGCAGGCCUAACACAUGCAAGUCGAACGGCAGCGGGGGAUAGCUUGCUAUCCUGCCGGCGAGUGGCGGACGGGUGAGUAAUGCAUGGGGAGCUGCCCAGUCGAGGGGGAUAACAACUGGAAACGGUUGCUAAUACCGCAUACGCCCUGAGGGGGAAAGGUGGGGAACUUCGGUCCUACCGCGAUUGGAUGCGCCCAUGUGGGAUUAGCUAGUUGGUGAGGUAACGGCUCACCAAGGCGACGAUCUCUAGCUGGUCUGAGAGGAUGACCAGCCACACUGGAACUGGGACACGGUCCAGACUCCUACGGGAGGCAGCAGUGGGGAAUAUUGCACAAUGGGGGAAACCCUGAUGCAGCCAUGCCGCGUGUGUGAAGAAGGCCUUCGGGUUGUAAAGCACUUUCAGUCAGGAGGAAGGGGUGAUGGCUAAUAUCCAUCACCAUUGACGUUACUGACAGAAGAAGCACCGGCUAACUCCGUGCCAGCCGCCGCCGUAA